rnacentral:snRNA from 1 species
UCAAACGAGGAAAGGCUU